rnacentral:rRNA from 1 species
AGUGAACGCUGGCGGUAGGCCUAACACAUGCAAGUCGAACGGCAGCACAGUAAGAGCUUGCUCUUACGGGUGGCGAGUGGCGGACGGGUGAGGAAUACAUCGGAAUCUACUUUUUCGUGGGGGAUAACGUAGGGACACUUACGCUAAUACCGCAUACGACCUACGGCUGAAAGCAGGGGAUCUUCGGACCUUGCGCGACUGAAUGAGCCGAUGCCGGAUUAGCUAGUUGGCGGGGUAAAGGCCCACCAAGGCGACGAUCCGUAGCUGGUCUGAGAGGAUGAUCAGCCACACUGGAACUGAGACACGGUCCAGACUCCUACGGGAGGCAGCAGUGGGGAAUAUUGGACAAUGGGCGCAAGCCUGAUCCAGCCAUACCGCGUGGGUGAAGAAGGCCUUCGGGUUGUAAAGCCCUUUUGUUGGGAAAGAAAAGCAGCAGGUUAAUACCCCGCUGUUCUGACGGUACCCAAAGAAUAAGCACCGGCUAACUUCGUG